rfam:Salmo salar isolate Sally breed double haploid chromosome ssa09, whole genome shotgun sequence.
UGCAUUCACUACUGUAAGUCUCUCUGGAUAAGAGUGUCUGCUAAAUGACUAAAA